CAGCACCUCGCUCUCCAGCCGUCUUAUCGUCGGUAGUAGAUGAUGCACAGUGCCAAGGAUGUUUCAGCUUCUCAACUUGCCCUGCCAGCGAGGGGUGCACCAGAAGGGAGAGGACAGAACCAGAACAGCUGACCUAAACUGGCCAAAAGGACAUUCCAUAUCACAUGGCAUCAUGAAGCACAAUAGAGCAGGGCGGAGCUGGAUGGGUGAAGUGCUGCUGCUCAGGGUCUGGAUGGGCAUCUGUCAGUGCAUGGUUUUAUCUUUUUUCCGUUUCUCUCCCCCACCACACUGGGAGUGGGAACGAGCAAACAGCUGUGCGGUGCUGAGCUGCUUGUCAAAUCAAACCACAACACCAUGCCCCAUUUGUCAGAUUCAAACUGUAUGUUUGAUAGGCCAGCUGUAAUUUAUGUAUACAGUCCCCAGAAGCCAGAUAAUGUGAAACAUUCAUAGCAUCAUAUAAUAGAAUCAUAGAAUGCCUUGGGUUGGAAGGGACCUCAAGGAUCAUCAAGCUCC